AAUAGAUACCCUGGUAGUCCACGCCGUAAACGAUGAGUGCUAAGUGUUAGAGGGUUUCCGCCCUUUAGUGCUGCAGCAAACGCAUUAAGCACUCCGCCUGGGGAGUACGGUCGCAAGACUGAAACUCAAAGGAAUUGACGGGGGCCCGCACAAGCGGUGGAGCAUGUGGUUUAAUUCGAAGCAACGCGAAGAACCUUACCAGGUCUUGACAUCCUUAUGCCAUCUCUAGAGAUAGAGCUUUCCCGUUCGGGGAUAUAAGUGACAGGUGGUGCAUGGUUGUCGUCAGCUCGUGUCGUGAGAUGUUGGGUUAAGUCCCGCAACGAGCGCAACCCUUGAUCUUAGUUGCCAGCAUUCAGUUGGGCACUCUAAGGUGACUGCCGGUGACAAACCGGAGGAAGGUGGGGAUGACGUCAAAUCAUCAUGCCCCUUAUGACCUGGGCUACACACGUGCUACAAUGGAUGGUACAAAGGGCAGCGAAACCGCGAGGUUAAGCCAAUCCCAUAAAACCAUUCUCAGUUCGGAUUGCG
rnacentral:rRNA from 1 species